rnacentral:rRNA from 1 species
UACGUAGGGUGCAAGCGUUGUCCGGAAUUAUUGGGCGUAAAGAGCUCGUAGGCGGUUUGUCGCGUCUGCUGUGAAAACGCGAGGCUCAACCUCGCGCCUGCAGUGGGUACGGGCAGACUAGAGUGCGGUAGGGGAGAUUGGAAUUCCUGGUGUAGCGGUGGAAUGCGCAGAUAUCAGGAGGAACACCGAUGGCGAAGGCAGAUCUCUGGGCCGUAACUGACGCUGAGGAGCGAAAAGCGUGGGGAGCGAACAG